rnacentral:lncRNA from 1 species
AUUGUUGGUUCAUUCAUUAGUAAUUAAGAUUUAAAUCUAUUGUAGGAAUUACUAGGGUUUGAUUUAGGGUUUAGGAUUUGGUUUAGAGUUUGGUUAGGAUUUGAUUUAGGAUUUAGGAUUUGAUUAGGAUUUGAUUUAGGAUUUAGAAUUUGAUUAGGAUUUGAUUUAGAAUUUGAUUAGGAUUUGAUUUAGGAUUUAGGAUUUUAUUAGGGUUUAUUUAGGGUUUAAGAUUUGGUUAGUUUUUGGCCUAAAAUUUGAAUGAAGUCUAAUAGGAUUUUAACUAGGAUUAAAUUAAGAUUGAAUUUAGAUGUAUUUGAAAUAUAUUUGUGAUCAUUCCAAUAUUUUUUUAAGAUUUCUUAUUAUUUCUUUGUAAUUCCUUUGAGGUUUCUUUGAAUUUAAUUAAAGCUUGCUUAGCAUUGUUAUGAUGUAAUUAGAAUUUAGAUAGUAUUCGAUUAGAGUAAAGAUUUU